rnacentral:rRNA from 1 species
GACGAACGCUGGCGGCGUGCUUAACACAUGCAAGUCGAACGGAAAGGCCCUGCUUUUGUGGGGUGCUCGAGUGGCGAACGGGUGAGUAACACGUGAGUAACCUGCCCUUGGCUUUGGGAUAACUUCAGGAAACUGGGGCUAAUACCGGAUAGGAGCUCCUGCUGCAUGGUGGGGUUGGGAAAGUUCGGCGGUUGGGGAUGGACCCGCGGCUUAUCAGCUUGGUGGUGGGGUAGUGGCUUACCAAGGCUUUGACGGGUAGCCGGCCUGAGAGGGUGACCGGCCACAUUGGGACUGAGAUACGGCCCAGACUCCUACGGGAGGCAGCAGUGGGGAAUAUUGCAGAAUGGGCGGAAGCCUGAUGCAGCAACGCCGCGUGCGGGAUGACGGCCUUCGGGUUGUAAACCGCUUUCGCCUGUGACGAAGCGUGAGUGACGGUAAUGGGUAAAGAAGCACCGGCUAACUACGUG